GGCGAGUGGCGAACGGGUGAGUAAUACAUCGGAACGUACCUUAUCGUGGGGGAUAACGCAGCGAAAGUUGCGCUAAUACCGCAUACGCCCUGAGGGGGAAAGCGGGGGACCGUAAGGCCUCGCGCGAUUAGAGCGGCCGAUGUCUGAUUAGCUUGUUGGUGAGGUAAAAGCUCACCAAGGCGAUGAUCAGUAGCUGGUCUGAGAGGACGAUCAGCCACACUGGGACUGAGACACGGCCCAGACUCCUACGGGAGGCAGCAGUGGGGAAUUUUGGACAAUGGGGGCAACCCUGAUCCAGCAAUGCCGCGUGAGUGAAGAAGGCCUUCGGGUUGUAAAGCUCUUUUGUCAGGGAAGAAACAGCAGCUCUAACACAGUCUGCGAAUGACGGUACCUGAAGAAUAAGCACCGGCUAACUACGU
rnacentral:rRNA from 1 species